rnacentral:rRNA from 1 species
GGGCCCGCACAAGCGGUGGAGCAUGUGGUUUAAUUCGAUGCAACGCGAAAAACCUUACCUACUCUUGACAUACUUGGGAGCUCUUGUAAUGAGAGUGUGCCUUUUGGAACCAAGAUACAGGUGCUGCAUGGCUGUCGUCAGCUCGUGUCGUGAGAUGUUCCGUUAAGUCGGAUAACGAGCGCAACCCUUACCCUUAUUUGCCAGCGAUUCGGUCGGGAACUAUAAGGGGACUGCCGGUGAUAAACCGGAGGAAGGUGAGGACGACGUCAAGUCAUCAUGGCCCUUACGAGUAGGGCUACACACGUGCUACAAUGGGGAAUACAGACGGACGCUAAGCCGCGAGGUGGUGCAAAUCCUCAAAACUGGGCCCAGUUCAGAUUGUAGUCUGCAACUCGACUACAUGAAGUCGGAAUCGCUAGUAAUGGCGCAU